rnacentral:rRNA from 1 species
GUCCACGCCGUAAACGAUGUGUGCUUGUCGCUGGGGGUUUACCUCUCGGUGACGGAGCUAACGCAUUAAGCACACCGCCUGGGAAGUACGGUCGCAAGAUUAAAACUCAAAGGAAUUGACGGGGACCCGCACAAGCGGUGGAGUAUGUGGUUUAAUUCGUCGCAACGCGAAGAACCUUACCAGGCCUUGACAUACCGAUUAAGGGAUUCAGAGAUGAGUCCUGUCAGUUCGGCUGGAUCGGAUACAGGUGAUGCAUGGCUGUCGU